AAGUCGUAACAAGGUUUCCGUAGGUGAACCUGCGGAAGGAUCAUUAAAGAAUUAGGCUUCGCGGCCAAGUUCUCACCCUUUGUAUACCGAAACCAUGUUGCUUUGGCAGGCCCCCUGAUUUCUCGGGGCCUUCGCAGGAUGUUAAUCAACCUAGAAUCUCUGCUGUCUGAGUACUAUACAAUAGUUAAAA
rnacentral:misc_RNA from 1 species